GUUGUGGUCCGUAAGGUUUCACUAUCAAGAGUUAUUUUAAAAUGCUGCUGUCACCGUCUCCGACCAACAUUACAUAUUUGAAUUUAUGCAUUUCAACAUAGUGUUUAAAUCCUUCAACCAUGGGCUCGUCCCGCAAAUCGUAGAUUUUGUUAAUUUUAUACCUAAUGAAAAACAACAUAAUUUCUACGAGAUCCAUGCCCAAAAAUUUGCAAGAAUGCCUAAGAAAUGAAUUUUAAGUCAUCAUGACGUCACAGACCGAAUACCGCUCACUAGCGUUUUGAUGGUUCACUCAUGAUUAGUAGAGACAUGGUUGCGCUGUAACUCUGUGGAGGUGUGGGGAGUAUGCCAUGCACCGUCUUAUCGGACUCGUCAAUAUAUGAAAUUCUACAAAUUUGUAGAGAAUUUGGAAUAAUUGAGGUAUUCCUCAAUACUGUAAAAAGCUUUGUCUUGUAGGAAGAAUGACAGGCGACUGCGAAAUAUAUUAAAAGACUUAGAUUCCUUAAUUUUUUGUUCCAAGUUGUUGUACAAUUUGAUUCCCGCAUAUGUAGGAUCAUAUUGACCAAUAGCCAACCUAGUAACCUAGAAUGUGGCAGCUCAAUGUGGUUUCUUGUCCUUGUAUUGUAUGCGUGAAUAUUGCUUCGUUUAUUAAGAGUGCUUACAUGUUGUCGAAUAAACAAAAGUAAGUGAAAUAUAUAUAAAGAUGGGAGGGUCAUAAUACCAAAUUUACGAAAGAUAGGACGACAGAAUACGUUUUUGUACUACAAAUAGAUUAUUCAAAAAGCUGCUGGACCCCCAAAAAGUAAUUCCAUAAAUUUACCUUUUCUAAAACCAUGCUGACUAGAAGAGAUCAAAUUUGUAUAUUCCAAAAACCUUACCAAGCGAUGAGAGAAUAUUCUCUCAAAGAUUUUAUGAAAUUGAUUUUGGACUGCAAUUGGUCUAUAGCAUGAGACUUCACUUUUGGAACCUUUAUUUUUAUAUAUUGGGACAACUUUUGAAGUUUUUAAAGCUUCAGGAAAAACACCUUUUGAAAAGGACUCAUUGAUUAAAUGGGAUAAUGGGGAAGAUAUUAGAUCUCUGACAGGAAUUAGUAAGUUCCAGGUAUUUCAUCAAUGCCAGGUGUUUUUUUGUUACAUGUUUUAUUUAUGACUGAAAUCACCUCCUCCGGUGAUGAAGGUGCCAAACAGAAACUUUUUACAACAGUUGAAGUAGAUUUGGAGUAAUUUUGUGAUAAAACUGACUCACUUCUUUGGGUAAAUUGGACACCAUCAGCAAAAUAAUCUUUAAAGAAGUUACAAACAUCCAACGAAUUUUUUCGAUGGCUGUUAAUUAUAUUCCAGCUUUCACGCACAAGGUUAUCUGAAUUAGCCAAUCGGUUGCCAUUAUAUGUGUACUUUCUACACUUUAAAGACUUAAAAUAAAUUUGCCUAAGUUCUAAAAUUUUUUUAUGGUACGCCGGAUUGUUAAUACUUUUACUUAAUUUUGACAUGUCAUGUAAUGUUUUCAGAGAAUGGGUAUACCAUGUUGGUUUGCCUUUUAUUUUGCUUUUAAUCUUUAUCGACUUAAUUGGGUAACAUUUAUCAAAAUAACGCAAAAAUGUAUUGUAAAAGAUAUUAAACCCUAAGUUAAAAUCUGAAGCAGCAAAUGUAUCCUGCCAAUCUUCGGUCUGAAGACAUUCUUUAAAGUGAGAAAUAUUUACAUCGCUAAAAACACGUUUCUUAAUCAUAUAUGAACAAUUGUUAUCACAAUUGCCUAAGCCUAGUUUAUUACUAUCAAAAACAACUAAUUGAUAUGUAUGAUCUGA